CCCUAUGGGGUGCAGCAGGCGCGAAAACUUUACCAUGCGGGCAACCGUGAUAAGGAAACCCCGAGUGCCAGCACAGGCUGGCUGUCCGCCAGUUUAAAUAACUGGUGAAGAAAGGGCCGGGCAAGACCGGUGCCAGCCGCCGCGGUAAUACCGGCGGCUCGAGUGGUGGCCGCUAUUACUGGGCUUAAAGGGUCCGUAGCUUGAUAACUGGGUCCCUUGAGAAAUCCGCCAGCUUAACUGGCGGGCGUUCAGGGGAAACUGUAUUUCUAGGGACCGGGAGAGGUGAGAGGUACUGCCGGGGUAGGAGUGAAAUCCUGUAAUCCCGGUGGGACCACCUAUGGCGAAGGCAUCUCACCAGAACGGGUCCGACAGUGAGGGACGAAAGCUGGGGGAGCAAACCGG
rnacentral:rRNA from 1 species